AACGAACGCUGGCGGCGUGGAUAAGACAUGCAAGUCGAACGGGAUAACAUCUGUAGCAAUACAGGUGUUAUUUAGUGGCGAACGGGUGCGUAACACGUGGGCAAUCUGCCGAGAAGUGGGGGAUAGCUCGCCGAAAGGCGAAUUAAUACCGCAUAUGAUCAGCUAAGACAUCUUAGCGACAUCAAAGCCGGGGCAACCUGGCGCUUCUUGAUGAGCCCGCGGCCUAUCAGCUAGUUGGUGAGGUAACGGCUCACCAAGGCUAUGACGGGUAGCUGGUCUGAGAGGACGACAGUCACACUGGAACUGGGACACGGUCCAGACACCUACGGGU
rnacentral:rRNA from 1 species